UACGUAGGGUGCAAGCGUUGUCCGGAAUUAUUGGGCGUAAAGAGCUCGUAGGCGGUUUGUCGCGUCUGCUGUGAAAACCCGAGGCUCAACCUCGGGCCUGCAGUGGGUACGGGCAGACUAGAGUGCGGUAGGGGAGAUUGGAAUUCCUGGUGUAGCGGUGGAAUGCGCAGAUAUCAGGAGGAACACCAAUGGCGAAGGCAGAUCUCUGGGCCGUAACUGACGCUUAGGAGCGAAAGCAUGGGGAGCGAACAGG
rnacentral:rRNA from 1 species